GAAGCUACUCUGUCUGUGAUCAAUGUGCAUUUCUCUCCGUCGAUAUUUGAAGGAAUCAUGUCUGUGAUUGAAUGUCUUGAUACUCAGGAUCAUGGAGAUCGAAAUGCUCCAAUUGACCCCGUUCCCAUCUUUCGUUUCACCGUCGAUACCAACUUGGUACUUUUCAGGUUGCACGUCAACCUUGAAAAUGAAGGAGAAAAUAGCACAGUGCUUGUUCUUUCUAUUCAACAGCUGGAUCUCUGGUAGUGUUUCUUUUGCUGUACAUUUAUAUCUACCACGGUGGUGUCUGCUUGUUUUGCCAAGCAGUUGAAUAUGUUCCUAUGCUUCCUAUCAUACACAUAUUUGGUCUUACGAUCACUGCCUGUGACUCAUCUACUGAUGCCGUAUUCACUUACCAAAGUUGAAGAGUGGUCGGUCCGUGUGAAAACAUUGGAAAUAAAAGCUUGCUCCUCUAAAGAUGCAGACGGUCAUAUUUUGUGUUCAUCUGGGAAUCUACUGAAAUCGUACUCUGCCUAUGGACAGGGGAUGGAUGCUCAUAAUAUCCGGGGGUUGAUACUGUCAGAUGCAGGGAUACUGUCUGACAAUGUAGAGAUGCAUGCAUCUCAUAAAGUAUCAUCUUUCUGGCAUGGAGUUGCAUUUGAUGCACCUGAGACGCGCCAUCUUCACAAAAUUUGCAAGGAAACAUGAGUACAAAAGUCCAGAUAAGAGAUGUGUCUCUUCUUAUAUCAGAUGGAAGGUGGGGAUGUAGCGGUCUGCUUCUUGAAGUUCUUAUGAGAAACUUUCUGCUGCAAGCUAAUCUGACCGCGAAGAAGGAGGAGAGUUUGGUUUCAUGUGAUCUUGAAGUGAAUUAUAAAAUAUGCACAAGGUCUUGUGGGAACCUUUUAUUGAGCCAUCAAAUUAUCCCGAAAAUUUGAUCGUGGUACGACCUUAGCCUUGUUUCGCACUCACGGAGUUGCCAUUUUGGAAGACUUCAUUAUAACUUAAGCAGAUGGGGUCGGUAGCAUCCAUCUAGAUCUCGUUUCUGUAGACAGCAAGUUUUCAAAUGAAAUGAACAGUGGAGGACUAGAUAUCUUUAACCUUUCUAGUAGAGCGCUCCAAAAACUACUUAAUGAGGUAGAGCUCUAUACCAGUGGUUGCAUCAGAAUAUGGAAGCAGUUGUGUUGAUGUAUGAUGAUCGCUUUGACCUCUACAUUCUUCAAACUCAGCUAUAUCUGAUAGCUCAGGAAGGAGGUAUGUAAUCACUGGUACAUAUGGAGACGCAUUCGAAGGCAUGAAGUUGAAGUGAGUGCCAAGUACUCUGUGAGAAUGCUGUAAUUAAGAAUGACACGGUAGCCGUAACGGUGUAUGGCAAUUUUCAUAUUGUUGGAAUGUUGGUAUCAGAGGUAGAAAUUGCAGACUGAAGAAAGAUUUUAUUUUCUUUUAAUAUUUUAAAGAUAAAGAUACAAUACUCAGCUUAUCAUCCUAUACGAAAUGUAGUUUUAAUGAAAUUGCUGACUGAAAGAAAGACACAUGUUCUCUUCCCUCUUUGUUGCCUUGCCUUACUCCUUAGUAUUCCAUCAUAUUUGUUCAAUUAAUGCGUAGCCUUUUUAA